rnacentral:rRNA from 1 species
GCAGGCCUAACACAUGCAAGUCGAGCGGUAGCACAAGAGAGCUUGCUCUCUGGGUGACGAGCGGCGGACGGGUGAGUAAUGUCUGGGAAACUGCCUGAUGGCGGGGGAUAACUAGUGGAAACGGUAGCUAAUACCGCAUAACGUCGCAAGACCAAAGUGGGGGACCUUCGGGCCUCACGCCAUCAGAUGUGCCCAGGUGGGAUUAGCUGGUAGGUGGGGUAACGGCUCACCUAGGCGACGAUCCCUAGCUGGUCUGAGAGGAUGACCAGCCACACUGGAACUGAGACACGGUCCAGACUCCUACGGGAGGCAGCAGUGGGGAAUAUUGCACAAUGGGCGCAAGCCUGAUGCAG